GAGCUCUGGUUUGCCUUCAAAUGAAUAAAUCUUUCGACUUUUACUAAAGAAUUCCGUGGAGGGGAACACUAAAUAAUCUUUUUAUAAAUUUUUCAUAGUGCUGUGCUGUUGUGGAGCG